rnacentral:tRNA from 1 species
AGGGGUAUAGCUCAGCGGUAGAGCGGCGGUCUCCAAAACCGUAGGUCGUGGGUUCAAUCCCCUCUGCCCCUGCCA